AGCUAUCUAUAUUUAUACUCGGUCUAUCUAUUAGGACUUAUACUAUAACUAAUGUUACUAUCUAAAACUAUAACUAUGGCUUAUGCUGCAACUGCUCUAAGCAUACCAGGACUUAUCUAAACUAGGACUCUCUAAGGCAUUAUACUAAGACACACUAAGGGUUGACACUGGACUAUAGGUCUUUUAAGGGCAAACCUAAAGGUGAACUCUAAAGUCUAG
rnacentral:lncRNA from 1 species